UACGUAGGGUGCGAGCGUUGUCCGGAUUUAUUGGGCGUAAAGAGCUCGUAGGCGGCUCGUCGCGUCGACCGUGAAAACCCGCGGCUUAACUGCGGGCUUGCGGUUGAUACGGGCGGGCUAGAGUUCGGUAGGGGAGACUGGAAUUCCUGGUGUAGCGGUGGAAUGCGCAGAUAUCAGGAGGAACACCGGUGGCGAAGGCGGGUCUCUGGGCAGUAACUGACGCUGAGGAGCGAAAGCGUGGGGAGCGAACAGG
rnacentral:rRNA from 1 species